rfam:Vitis vinifera, whole genome shotgun sequence of line PN40024, unoriented chromosome 18, chr18
AAUGGCAAAUGAUGAGUAUGAAAUCUUAUCCUACACACUGAUCUUGAACUGUGUUGACUACUACUCCGCUUAUUAUCUGAUGCCUUG